rnacentral:rRNA from 1 species
GACGAACGCUGGCGGCGUGCUUAACACAUGCAAGUCGAACGGAAAGGCCCUGCUUUUGUGGGGUGCUCGAGUGGCGAACGGGUGAGUAACACGUGAGUAACCUGCCCUUGACUUUGGGAUAACUUCAGGAAACUGGGGCUAAUACCGGAUAGGAGCUCCUGCUGCAUGGUGGGGGUUGGAAAGUUCGGCGGUUGGGGAUGGACUCGCGGCUUAUCAGCUUGUUGGUGGGGUAGUGGCUUACCAAGGCUUUGACGGGUAGCCGGCCUGAGAGGGUGACUGGCCACAUUGGGACUGAGAUACGGCCCAGACUCCUACGGGAGGCAGCAGUGGGGAAUAUUGCACAAUGGGCGGAAGCCUGAUGCAGCAACGCCGCGUGCGGGAUGACGGCCUUCGGGUUGUAAACCGCUUUCGCCUGUGACGAAGCGUGAGUGACGGUAAUGGGUAAAGAAGCACCGGCUAACUACGUG